GCAUAAUAAUUUGACCAUUAAUUGUGGGCUAGAAUGAACGGGGUAACGAAAUAAGCUCUGUCUCAACAAAAUAAAUAAAAACUAGUCUCAAAGUGAAGAAACUUUGAUUUUGCUAAAGGACAAGAAGACCCUAUAGAGCUUUAUUAAUUAACUUUUAUACAAUAGUUAUUUAAUUCGGUUGGGGCGACCUAGGAAUAAUCAUCCUAUAUUUUAAAGAUAUAUUAAUCACAUGAAUGAUCCUAUAAUAGAUCAAAAGAGCAAGGUACCUUAGGGAUAACAGGCUAAUCCUAUUAAAGAGUUCAUAUCGACAAUAGGGA
rnacentral:rRNA from 1 species